rnacentral:rRNA from 1 species
UAGGGAAUCUUCGGCAAUGGACGAAAGUCUGACCGAGCAACGCCGCGUGAGUGAAGAAGGUUUUCGGAUCGUAAAACUCUGUUGUUAGAGAAGAACAAGGACGUUAGUAACUGAACGUCCCCUGACGGUAUCUAACCAGAAAGCCACGGCUAACUACGUGCCAGCAGCCGCGGUAAUACGUAGGUGGCAAGCGUUGUCCGGAUUUAAUGGGCGUAAAGCGAGCGCAGGCGGUUUCUUAAGUCUGAUGUGAAAGCCCCCGGCUCAACCGGGGAGGGUCAUUGGAAACUGGGAGACUUGAGUGCAGAAGAGGAGAGUGGAAUUCCAUGUGUAGCGGUGAAAUGCGUAGAUAAAUGGAGGAACACCAGUGGCGAAGGCGGCUCUCUGGUCUGUAACUGACGCUGAGGCUCGAAAGCGUGGGGAGCAAACAGG